CAGGGAUCUGACUCUGCCUUCUGCUCAAGAAAGAAGCAAGAGUAUUCAAAAUGUGGUUUAAGGACAAACAAGCACUUUUGGACAGCUAGGUCAGAUCCUAGAAGACUGCAAGGAUUAAUGGAGAAAAAAUCCAUGGACAUUGGGGCAAGCGUCUCAUAAUCACAUAUAAAAUGACAAUAUUGUCAAUAAUUCUUUGUACUGUCUGAAAAACAACAGGCCAGAGAAGAUGACUUUUCCACCAGCCAUCGGUUUUCAGUUCCUUUCUUUAUUUAGACUCCCCUGCACCCAGGUUAUUUUGCUUAGAGCCGUACCUUGCCAUCUGCAUUUAUGGAUACCUUAAAGCAUUUGAUCUAUUGGGUACAAAUGGUUUGGUCUGUGCUUCCCAAAGAGUAUUAAUAAAAAUCCCAAACCAAACCAAAGCAACUAUCUUCUUUUUCCCUAUAUACCUGUUUUUAAAUGCAAGUGCAGAGUAUGUUAACUGAAUUACAUGGACUUAUAUUCAAUACAUCCAAAUGUAGUCUUUGGUUGUAAAGGGUUACAUGCAAGGGUUACAUGUCCAUGCAAGAAAUUUUUUAAAUGUGUGGGAUUGAUUCUUUUCUUCAUUAAUGGCAGAAUGAUUCACCACUUGUCACAUCACAUAAGAUAAAUUUUAACAUACUGGUCUGAAUUAUCAGAGACACAUAUGUAUCUGUUGCAGCAAGAGAACCAAGACCUCACUUACUAUGGAUAAUAUACUUUUUUUUUGUUUGUUUUAAAAGAAACAUCCGUUUGUGCACAAAUAAACGUAUUAUCCUAUUGUAACCACA